ACUGAACGCUGGCGGCAGGCCUAACACAUGCAAGUCGAACGGUAGCACAGUGAGCUUGCUCUCGGGUGACGAGUGGCGGACGGGUGAGUAACGUCUGGGAAACUGCCCGAUGGAGGGGGAUAACUACUGGAAACGGUAGCUAAUACCGCAUAACGUCGCAAGACCAAAGUGGGGGACCUUCGGGCCUCACACCAUCGGAUGUGCCCAGAUGGGAUUAGCUAGUAGGUGGGGCAAUGGCUCACCUAGGCGACGAUCCCUAGCUGGUCUGAGAGGAUGACCAGCCACACGGGAACUGAGACACGGUCCAGACUCCUACGGGAGGCAGCAGUGGGGAAUAUUGCACCAUGGGCGCAAGCCUGAUGCAGCCAUGCCGCGUGUAUAAAGAAGGCCUUCGGGUUGUAAAGUACUUUCAGCGGGGAGGAAGGCGGUGAAGUUAAUAGCUUCACCGAUUGACGUUACCCGCAGAAGAAGCACCGGCUAACUCCGUGCCAGCAGCAGCCGCAG
rnacentral:rRNA from 1 species